rnacentral:rRNA from 1 species
UACGGGGGAUGCAAGCGUUAUCCGGAAUCAUUGGGCGUAAAGCGUCUGUAGGUUGUUUAAUAAGUCUGUUGUUAAAGACUAGGGCUCAACCCUAGAAAAGCAAUGGAAACUACUAGACUUGAGUAUGGCAGGGGUAGAGGGAAUUUCUAGUGUAGCGGUGAAAUGCGUAGAUAUUAGAAAGAACACCAGCGGCGAAAGCGCUCUACUGGACCAUUACUGACACUCAGAGACGAAAGCUAGGGUAGCAAAAGGGAUUAGAUACCCCUGUAGUCCUAGCCGUAAACGAUGGAUACUAGAUGUUGCGCUUAUUGUGCAGUGUCGUAGCUAACGCGUUAAGUAUCCCGCCUGGGGAGUACGAUCGCAAGGUUG